CUGCUAAUACCGCAUAAGCGCACAGGACCGCAUGGUCCGGUGUGAAAAACUCCGGUGGUACAGGAUGGACCCGCGUCUGAUUAGGUAGUUGGCGGGGUAACGGCCCACCAAGCCGACGAUCAGUAGCCGACCUGAGAGGGUGACCGGCCACAUUGGGACUGAGACACGGCCCAAACUCCUACGGGAGGCAGCAGUGGGGAAUAUUGCACAAUGGGGGGAACCCUGAUGCAGCGACGCCGCGUGAGUGAAGAAGUAUUUCGGUAUGUAAAGCUCUAUCAGCAGGGAAGAAAAUGACGGUACCUGACUAAGAAGCCCCGGCUAACUACGUGCCAGCAGCCGCGGUAAUACGUAGGGGGCAAGCGUUAUCCGGAUUUACUGGGUGUAAAGGGAGCGUAGACGGCAGAGCAAGUCUGAAGUGAAAGCCCGCGGCCCAACUGCGGGACUGCUUUGGAAACUGCCCGGCUAGAGUGCUGGAGAGGUAAGCGGAAUUCCUAGUGUAGCGGUGAAAUGCGUAGAUAUUAGGAGGAACACCAGUGGCGAAGGCGGCUUACUGGACAGUAACUGACGUUGAGGCUCGAAAGCGUGGGGAGCAAACAGGAUUAGAUACCCUGGUAGUCCACGCUGUAAACGAUGGAUGCU
rnacentral:rRNA from 1 species